rnacentral:rRNA from 1 species
AAGUUCUGUUGUUAGGGAAGAACAAGUACCAGAGUAACUGCUGGUACCUUGACGGUACCUAACCAGAAAGCCACGGCUAACUACGUGCCAGCAGCCGCGGUAAUACGUAGGUGGCAAGCGUUGUCCGGAAUUAUUGGGCGUAAAGCGCGCGCAGGUGGUUCCUUAAGUCUGAUGUGAAAGCCCACGGCUCAACCGUGGAGGGUCAUUGGAAACUGGGGAACUUGAGUGCAGAAGAGGAAAGUGGAAUUCCAAGUGUAGCGGUGAAAUGCGUAGAGAUUUGGAGGAACACCAGUGGCGAAGGCGACUUUCUGGUCUGUAACUGACACUGAGGCGCGAAAGCGUGGGGAGCAAACAGGAUUAGAUACCCUGGUAGUCCACGCCGUAAACGAUGAGUGC